AAAUGUGAUAAACUGCGAGCCAUCAUAAGUGAAAAUAUAUAUCUUAGCUUCUUGCAAUCUCUCAGUGUUAGAGUUGUAAGGUUCUCAAGGGUUACAACUUGAGCAAAAUCGUUCCAUAUAAUCUGCACUUCAAAUAAAUUCCUCAAUUCCAAUAUUUUUAUGCUUGAGAACGAGUACCCGCCUUGAACUUGAAAUACUUCUUCAUGAUUCCCAACUACUAUACAACCUUCAUUCAAUACAGGAACAUCAGUGUUGCAUAAUUGGCGGCUAUUUCCCAC
rnacentral:lncRNA from 1 species